rnacentral:lncRNA from 1 species
AUUCAGACCUUAAGGGCAGAGCCAUGCAGAGGACUAGAAAGAAGAAAAGAGGACUGCAAGGGGAAUGACCCAAUGCAGACAUCUGGGAAAUGUGCUGCAUGCAUCCAGAGUAGAAGGGGCAGAGAGCCAUUCAUAAGGGAAGACCCCAUAAGCAGAGGGUGGAGAAGGAGCAGCUGAGGUUGAAGCAGACCUCAUAGAUGUAGGAACCAGGUCCUUACAGAGUCCGAAACAGAAGGAGCUUGGAUGAAUUCUCCAAAAGAGAAAGUAUAGGUUUGGAAGAUCAGUUGGUAGAACUGUUUGGGAGGUGAAACCAUAACUUCAGGGGCUUAAAAAGAGCAAAAUAAACUGAUGUUCUUGGAAUAAGAGAUCUGGUACUCAAGUACCAGGGAAAAGGAAACAAGAGAGAAAAAUUCUGAGAGGCUGAGUCUUUUAUGAGUGCAGAGAUGAGGGGAUUGGAGAUAGUGACUCAGAUGUAAAGUACUCACUGGAAGGAAGGCAGCACCUUUGCUUGUUUGUCUUUAUCUCCAGAGCUUGGCACAAAGCCUGGUCUGGAUGGAAAGACAGCUGGCCACUUUGGGUUACUCUGGACACCUGGGAAAUGGAGGGAGCACAGGACACAUCAGUUGCUGGCACUCUUUUCUGGAGGAUUCAAAACAGAGUGAUCUUGAUGUGGCCCUUCUUUCAUCUCCUAUUCAUGUCACUUCAUUGCUCCUCGUCCCUCCUUGCAGAGUGCACACUGGCAGCUUUAGUUUUAGGGAUGUUAAGACAAAUGCUACAAUCAUCUUGCUUUGAUGGCUUUUCUGAACUGGGAAUAUAAGGAGAGAUGUUUUGGCCAGAUGAAAAAUGACCUUAUUUCUAGGUAAAAUUUAAAUGUAUCCCCUUGAGGACUUCUGUGUUUCCUCUUGUCCUCUACCUUGCUUUUCAGCAGAACAGGGAUGAAAGGGACACCAAAGCUCUCCAAGGCCUGCCUUAGGAUGCACUGCUGGCCCCACGAUAGAUGUCCCUAUGCAUCACACACGCCUGCCAGAGACCCCAGAGCUUCCCUCACGUGGGAUUUAGGGUCACUGUGAGAAGGCAGUUGCAAGGAAAGGAGGCCUGCUAAUAAGGGGGACCAAGCCCCACUUCUACACUAAACCAGAGCCCUGCUGCCCCAGAGCGACUCCUUCUCUCCCCUUCCUUGCACUGAACACGUGUUUGACCAGAACUGCAACAUUUCAAACAUAAAGCAAGAUCUGCCUGGAAAUCCUAAUUAAAAGUGUUCCGCUCCCAAGUGGCACAGUCACAUCCUGCCUAAAGCUUCUGGCCCGCAUCCCACCACCCAGAAAACAUCCCCCCACUUAACCCCAAACCCUG